rnacentral:rRNA from 1 species
UACGAAGGGGGGCUAGCGUUGUCCGGAAUUACUGGGCGUAAAGAGCUCGUAGGUGGUUUGUCGCGUUGUUCGUGAAAACUCACAGCUCAACUGUGGGCGUGCGGGCGAUACGGGCAGACUUGAGUACUGCAGGGGAGACUGGAAUUCCUGGUGUAGCGGUGGAAUGCGCAGAUACUCGAGGAGGAACACCGGUGGGCGAAGGCGGGUCUCUGGGC